AUACGGAGGGUGCAAGCGUUAAUCGGAAUUACUGGGCGUAAAGCGUACGUAGGCGGUCCGUUAAGUUAGAUGUGAAAGCCCCGGGCUUAACCUGGGAACUGCAUUUAAAACUGGCGAACUAGAGUUGAGUAGAGGGGAGUGGAAUUUCAGGUGUAGCGGUGAAAUGCGUAGAGAUCUGAAGGAACACCAGUGGCGAAGGCGACUCCCUGGACUCGAACUGACACUGAGGUACGAAAGCGUGGGUAGCAAACGGGAUUAGAAACCCCGGUAGUCC
rnacentral:rRNA from 1 species